UAGGGAUUUCACUCCUACUGUUCCUUCAUUUUCCAUCGUCGAUUGAAAUUGAAUGCGAUCUUUUGGUAUUCGCCCUCCCCAUCUACCUUAUAACCUGAUUUUUAAUUCUUAAAGCUUCUAUCAAUGUCGAUGAAUAUCAUCUUCCCCCAAUCAAAGAUCAUAUGUCCCACUCGGGUUUUUGUUCGAGGUAGCAACUUCUGCUUACAAAUUGCAGGUGCAUAUCUUGAAGAUCUAUACUAGGCACGAGAGCAUUUUUCAUCAGGAUUAAAGUCAUGAAGAAGGAAUGGUUUGAAGGGAAAGAGUGUCUUGAUAUUGGCAGCAAUAAUGGAUUAAUAACAAUUACAAUUGGUAAUCGUUAAUAUACAGGUUUUGGUUAAAUGAAUUAUCAUCAGUUAGUUUUUUUUUUUUUUACAUGGUUUUGAAUACUAAUGGUUCAUUCAUUAAUGAUGCUGAGCUCGUGUCUGGUGACUGAAGCUACUUUUUCAUUUUGUCAUUGCAUUAUUGUUACACUAUACGGAGUGGGGGGCAUGAAAAGUGGCCGUUGUGCAACACGUGGACGCUACGCCAGCACGUGUCAGAAUAGUGGCGUGGUGCAAAAAGCUGGAGGAGUGGGAGGGGGCAUGAAAGGGCGGCGUUAUUUGACGCGUGGCACACACUUUGUCGGUUCUUCACUUUCUUCUUAGAGGUAUUGAUUGAUCAGGCUUUUUAUGUUGUUGGUGAUGACUGAAAUGAUAUGAUUUAAAGUUAAUUGGCCUUAUUAGUUCAGUUUGAUUGCUGUUAGUAAUAAAACCUCCUAAUUCAUUUAAAGUAAACAAAAAACAUAAUUCUUACCUUUUGAAUUAUCUCACUUGAAUAAAACUACUUGUAAUUGGUAUGUUGAUAUUGACAUUCUUGUUGCACUCCUGGUGCUCUCUAAUACCUAAGUGGAGUCAUUCUUUUUGAGGAAACUCUCUACCAGAAGACAACUACAGGUACUAUAUUAUAUGAAGUUACGCAAACUGCAAAAAAAAUUGCAACGCAUUGUUCUCUUUUAACGAUCCAUAGUUAGCAUACCUUUUGUUUCCAAAAUAUGAACUCGUACUAUCUUAUUCAACAUGUGUACUAAAUACUAUUUUUUGUCAUUAAUAUGGCUAAGAAAAAUGUGUGUAUCCGAUAAAAGGCAACCGGUAUAUGGGAAGCAAUAUAUGAGAGGUAAGCCAAGUAUGGAUGUUAUGAAGGAAGUUGGAAUCCUCUUUGGUAUAAAGGUUGACAAGGGUACAAUCGAACUUGCUGAACCAAUGGUGAGACCACCGCCCCAUGUCUAGAUGGUCUUGCCCAGCGACGUGCUAAAUACUACUCAGCCGGUUCCUGGUUUGCCAAGUGGCAUGCAGUUCUUAAGAUCGGCCCAAAAGAGCCACAAUUGCAUCACAUCUGUCCCCUACAAUUCUAAAAUAUGAGGGAGCGCCAAUUUAUCGUGCUUCUAAGCAAGCAUACUGGAGCAUUGAUUGUAAUUUUCCAGGGGCAUACCAUGCUGGGUUCAAUAGUGAAGAGGCUGUCAACGUGGCCCCAUGAAUUAGAUACAACACGGGCAAGUUGCAGUUGAGCUUUAUAGCUAUUUCUGGUGCAACGCUCUUAGUAAUCAACUUCUAAGAGGGUUAUAGAGAGAGAAAAUCGGGAACCAAAGAGACAGAGAGAGAAAUCAGGUGGGGAUCGAGAGGGAAAAUUGAGAGGUAUGACGAUAGGGAUGGUGAUGCUAACGAGAGGUGGUGGCUAUGGAAUGUGGAGUGGUGAAAAUGCAGCGACGAAAGGCGGUGCUACUUAAGCAGAACAAAAUUAGUUGUCGUUAGUAGCAUUGCUGAUAGCAGCUCUAAGGAAAUUAAUGGUGGUGUGUAGUGUUGAUCAUCGACAUUCGACAUUCGACAUGAUCAUAUCUCAGCUCAACAUCAGAUGGAAAUAGAAUGCCCCACAAAUGUUCAACAUUUAACAGAUGUUACUUUCAUAGAUUCAUUGACGAAUUUGCAAAAGUUUAUCAACAGCUCAAUUAUGUCCAGGUUGGUUUUCUCUACUAAUCAUGUAUGCUCUUGUAUUUCAUUAGUUGUAGUGUUUGGAUGUGUGUUUUGAUAAGAAUCAUGGAUGUAAUAAAACAGAUCAUUAGUUGUAAUAAAACAGUUUGAAGGAGGUGGUGCCUGGAUGUGCCUUUGCUUUUUGAAA